rnacentral:rRNA from 3 species
ACGAGGACCUACCGGAGGGCAAGUCUAAUGCCAGCCGCUGCGGUAAUUUUAGCUCCGGUAGCGUAUGCUAAAAUUGCUGCAGUUAAAAUGUUCGUCGUCGGACCUCGGCCGCGGACGUGGGGUGGAAAGCCACCUCCGCGUUUCGCGUGCAUGUGGCCCGCCACCCCGAGGCGAGGUUUUAAUCGGUCACGCCCGGGUGGAUGGGGGUAAUCGCCCUGCCCAAAACAUGGUGCUCAAAGCAGGCCGGAAGUAUGCUGAGAUAGUAAUGCACGGAACGAUGGAAGACGCCUUCGGGUCCCGGUUCGAUGCAAGGGGUCGCGGGAACCCGAGGGAAUGAUCGAUAGGAGUAGACGGGGGCAAUCGUAUUCCGACGCUAGAGGUGAAAUUCUUGGACCGUCGGAAGACGAGCUACUGCGAAAGCAUUUGCCAAGUAUGCUUCCAUUGACCAAGGACGAAAGUAAGAGGCUCAAAGGAGAUUAGAUACCUUCGUAGUUCUGACCGCAAACGAUACCCGCCGGCGAUCCGGCUGCGUACGG